CUCCUGGAAACGGGUGGUAAUGCCGGAUGCUCCGCCCCCUCGCAUGGGGGGGUCGGGAAGGCUUUUGCGGAAUGGGAUGGGGUCGCGUCCUAUCAGCUUGUUGGCGGGGCGACGGCCCACCAAGGCUUCGACGGGUAGCCGGCCUGAGAGGGCGACCGGCCACAUUGGGACUGAGAUACGGCCCAGACUCCUACGGGGGGCAGCAGUGGGGAAUAUUGCACAAUGGGGGGAACCCUGAUGCAGCGACGCCGCGUGCGGGAUGGAGGCCUUCGGGUCGUGAACCGCUUUUGAUUGGGAGCAAGCGUGAGUGAGUGUACCUUUCGAAUAAGCACCGGCUAACUACGUGCCAGCAGCCGCGGUAAUACGUAGGGUGCAAGCGUUGUCCGGAAUCAUUGGGCGUAAAGGGCUCGUAGGCGGUUCGUCGCGUCCGGUGUGAAAGCCCAUCGCUUAACGGUGGGUCUGCGCCGGGUACGGGCGGGCUUGAGUGCGGCAGGGGAGGCUGGAAUUCCCGGUGUAACGGUGGAGUGUGUAGAUAUCGGGAAGAACACC
rnacentral:rRNA from 1 species